rnacentral:lncRNA from 1 species
GUGCACGUCAAAUAUUUUAAAAUAAGAAAUAUCCUUCCAGUGGCAGCUGCACGAAAGGAAUUGCCAAAAAUCAAAAAGUUCUUACAACUAUCACAGCGCUUGGCAUCACACUUGUAGCAGCCUUCACCUUCCAGUUUAUUAGGCUUAUAUGGGUUAUAUAGUGCUAAUAACUCCUUCAUAUUGGCAUUACGCUUAUACGAAACAAGAAUAGCAAUAAAACAAGCAAGUAUUACUUGCUGCAACACAAAAAAGUCGUAACAAAACUUGUUUAAUAUUAAAAAUCUAAUAUCCUGCGACUUUCAUACAUUUUUGAUGAAAAAAUAAUUCAAAAUGGCCGACAUCAACAGUGAGAUGAGAGAAAGCGAAAUUGGUACGCCUUCUGUUCAAAGUGUGACCAAGGCAAAGUAAAAAAAGAAGAAAGAGGGUUAUGUUUUUGAGAAUGAAGAGGUUGAGUUUUUGAUAUAUGCAGGGAGUAAGCGAGAAGUUUUGUUUGACAGCAAAUAUGUUUGAUCAAAUUAUGUUUGAUAUUUUACUCAAUCGCGAGCCAAAAUUCGCAGCGAAGAGAAAAAUGUACAAUUACAACAAGGGUGAUUUUGUAGCUCUCCGUGAAUCUUUGAAACUCUUGCCUUUAACUGAUUUUGUUCUCAGUGAGAAUGAUAUUGACAUCGCAUGGUCCAAAUGGAAGGAUGCUUUCCUUGCUGCUGUUGAUACAUAUAUUCCGAGCAGGCAAACUUCACGAACCUACACUCCCUCCUAUUUUACAAGAGAAAUUAUCCACAUGUACUCCAUCAGAAAGAAUCUUUAAGGAAACGAGCAAGAAAGUCUAAUUCGGCAUUGCUAUGGGAAAAAUUUCGUGAACUACGUGGGUCAGCUAAACGCAUGAUCAAAUCCAAAAAGCGUGAUUAUAUAAGGAACCUUGCUAAAAUACGAUAAAAUUUAAUCCUAAACAAUUUUGGAAAUUUUUCAAAUCGAAAUCAAAAUAAAUCUACAUUAUACCUGAUACCUGAUGACCCUAUAGCUGACUCGACAUUUAAAUCAUCAAGUGCAUAAAUCGGAUGCUUUAAACAAAUUCUUUGCCUCUGUUUCUUCCUCGUCCCAAAAACCCAUGUUUCCCUUCAUCCAACACUGUCCUUGUAACUCCAACUGAGUUUUCUGAUGUUUCGGUGGAAGACUGAGUUUGUCGUCUGCUAAAUAAUCUAUCCACAUCAAAAGCUACGGGUCCAGAUGGAAUAUCGGCAAGAUUAGUAAAGGAGUGUUUGGAAGUCCUUGCUUCCUGGAAUGUUAACAAGGGGGGCUCUCCAAAAGUGUCACGAAUUGGGGAGGGCGUACAAUAUGAUAUUUUGGAAAUUCUAAAUUUUGUUGGGGUUUAUUCUAGUAAUUGUGGGACAAACAUUCAAAAUUAUUCUCAUUAAAAACAACUGCCGUUUCCAUAAUUGCUAUAACAGCCUAAUAUUUAUUAACUGUAACAUAUAUUUUGAAAUAUCUUCGGGAAAGCUCUUUAAUAGCUGCUGUAGCCUCUAUAUAAAAUCAACAAAACUGAAAACACUCAAGUGAAAAUGCUCUGGACAGAGUUUAAAUCAGCCAAAGAGGAUCGGUACUUCAACAGCCAAUUUGCUACGGCGCAUAAACAAUGCGAUUAAGUAAAGAUUACAAAAAUCAUUAUCGUGUUAAAUGAUGACUGAAAAUGAAACGCAAUUCUAAACGCU